rnacentral:SRP_RNA from 1 species
GCUGGGCGUGGUGGUGCACGCCUGUAUUCCCAGCAACUUGGGAGACUGAGACAGGAGAAUCGCUUGAACCCAGGAGGUAGAGGUUGCAGUGAGCUGAGAUAGCGCCACUGCACUCCAGCCUGGGUGAUAGAGCAAGACCCUGUCUCAA